rnacentral:rRNA from 1 species
GUAGCCUGCGAAAAGCUUCGGGGAGCUGGCAAACGAGCUUUGAUCCGGAGAUGUCCGAAUGGGGAAACCCGGCCCGUAUGGGUCAUCCCACACUGAAUUCAUAGGUCAGGGAAGCGAACGCGGCGAACUGAAACAUCUAAGUAGCUGCAGGAACAGAAAUCAACCGAGAUUCCCAAAGUAGUGGCGAACGAAAUGGGAAGAGCCUUGCACUCUUUAGCAGGACUGUUAGCAAAACGGGAUGGAAAGCCCGGCCAUAGCAGGUGAUAGCCCUGUAUGCGAAAACAGACUUGUGGAACUAGGUGUGCGACAAGUAGGGCGGGACACGUGAAAUCCUGUCUGAAGAUGGGGGGACCAUCCUCCAAGGCUAAAUACUCGUGAUCGACCGAUAGU